UGAUCAUGUAUGGGAUUAGACCAGAUGUAUAGAAGGAAUGUCAGGCUUACUACGGGUCUAGGCGGCCUUAAGCCGAUCUGGAUCCUAGUGCCGAACAGUUUGGAUCCGUUACGGAAGGGUACCGGUUUCCGGGCUGUUACAGUUGGUAUCAGAGCAGAGGGCCUCAUAAGUACGGUGUGUUGAGCAAGGUCUCUCACAUCGGAAAGAGGUUGUUUUAGUAAGGCGAG
rnacentral:lncRNA from 1 species